AUCAGCAGGCUCAACCCUUUCCUCAAAGGGAUCAUAGAAGUGAACCCGGAUGCGCUUUAUCUUGCGGACAAGGCUGACUACGAGCGCAAGACUAAAGCACCAUCUGUGUCACUCUCUAAGUUACAUGGCAUUCCCAUUCUGGUCAAGGACAACAUUGCAACCAAGGACAAGUUGACCACCACAGCUGGCUCUUAUGCUCUGCUUGGCUCUGUUGUGCCCCGGGACGCCGGUGUGGUGACCAAGUUGAGGAGGGCUGGGGCUAUCAUACUGGGAAAGGCCAGCUUGAGUGAGUGGUCCUAUUGGAGGUCCGAUGAUGCACCUUCUGGUUGGAGUGCCAGAGGUGGCCAAGGGGUGAACCCUUACAAUUUCAAAGCGACGCCAAGCGGCUCAAGUAGCGGGUCGGCAAUAUCAGCGGCAGCAAAUCUGGCAGCAGUGACACUGGGGACUGAAACAGACGGGUCAAUUUUAAGUCCAUCCAGUUGGAACUCAGUGGUGGGCAUCAAACCAACAAUUGGCCUUACAAGUCGAGCAGGGGUUGUCCCAAUCUCUCCAAGACAGGACACGGUCGGGCCAAUUGCUAGGACAGUAUCAGAUGCCGCAUAUGUUCUUGAUGUCAUUGCAGGCAUUGACAGCAAUGACCUUGCAACAAUUGUGGCAUCGAGGUACAUUCCCAAGGGCGGCUAUGCACAAUUUCUCAGACCUGAUGGACUUAGAGGUAAGAGAAUAGGGAUAGUGACAGCCUUGUUCAACUUCGGCAGUGACGCUUUGUUGACUCGAACUUUUGAACAGCAUUUCAACACUCUGAGGAAAAGAGGUGCUGUUUUGGUAGACAAAUUGGAAAUAGCACAUUUUGAUGAAAUCUACAAUGCAAGUAGUGAAAGCAUUGCAUUGUCUGCGGAGUUCAAAAUUUACUUGAACACAUACCUCAAGAACUUGGUGGCUUCGCCAGUUCGAUCCUUGGCAGACGUGAUAGCCUUCAACAAUAAAAACUCAAAACUGGAGAAAGUGAAGGAGUAUGGCCAAGGCCGACUCUUGGAAGCUGAAGCAACAAAUGGGAUUGGCAAUGCAGAGAAGGCAGCGCUGGUAAACUUGGCAAAGCUAUCGAAAAUGGUUUCGAGAAGCUUGUGACGAAGGAGAGGCUAGACGCAGUGGUGGCUCCAUCUGAAGCCGUGUCGACGUUGCUCGCCAUAGCAGGUUCCCCAGGUGUGGUUGUCCCAGCAGGAUAUACUAAAGAUGGGGUACCGUUUGGCAUCUCCUUUGGCGGGCUGAGGGGUUCGGAGCCAAAGCUAAUUGAGAUAGCAUACGGCUUUGAGCAAGCCACUAAGAUUAGGAAGCCUCCUUCACUUAAAAAACUUCAAGAUUUUAGAGCCCCUUUUUAUUGGGGUAUUGAAGCUAAUGGGGGUACUAUUGUAGUCUUAUGAUCAAGAAAAUGCUAAGAAUAAUAAUGACGGGUCUUGAUCAUUUAGAUUUUAUUACAACUGUUCUCUUGGUCUAAUACAAUAAUACUAUUUCUCUUUCAAA